UUUCAAUAUAAGAAGAGAGAUUGGCUCAAAUUUUAUGAUUAACUACAAAACGGAAGUGUGUGCGUGAGAGAGAGAGAGAGAGACCCCAAAAGGCAGCAGACGAGCAAGUGAAAUAUUUGAAGAAUGACCAGCUGGAGAGAGAUCUGAGAGACCAAGAAGGAAGGAAGGAGGAGAAGAUGUGGUCACUCAUCGAAAAUUGCAGCCCAUUAGUUGAGAAUGUCGCGCAAAAGGUUCAAAGUGAAAGUCAAACAGAAAACCCGAAAACAAAAAAAAAAAAACCUCAUACAAAAUUAUCCGAAAUCUGUCAAGGCUUUCGGUAUACCCUUCUGUAUAUCCCUUUGUAGGUAGACACUUCUAAAAGGACGACAAGUUAAACAAUAAUAGUUAUUAAUUUUAAUCAAUAACAAACUGUCGACUUUUCAACCUGGAAAACAGAAACGAUAACAGACAUUGAUUCCGACUGAAAUUUUCCAAUUGGCAAACAAAUUUAGUUGAAUUAAUAUAUUAAUUUUAACAUUUGGGCAAUUUCUUUUACCAUUAAUAAAACUGUUAAAUUUUUGUGAAA